GAUGAAGAACGUAGCGAAAUGCGAUAAGUAAUGUGAAUUACAGAAUUCAGUGAACCAUCGAAUCUUUGAACGCACAUUGCGCCCGGCAGUAAUCUGCCGGGCAUGCCUGUCCGAGCGUCAUUUCUCCCCUCGAGCGCAGCUUUCCCCCCCGGGGGAGGGCCGCGCCCGGUGUUGGGGCGCUACGGAGGAGCCCAGCGCUCCCCCGUAGGCCCCGAAAUGUAGUGGCGGUCCCGCCGCGGCGCCCCCUGCGUAGUAGUUUUACAACUCGCAUCGGGUCCCGGCGGAGGCCAGCCGUCAAACCCCCCAACUUCAAUAGUUUGACCUCGGAUCAGGUAGGGUUACCCGCUGAACUUAAGCAUAUCAAUAAGCGGAGGA
rnacentral:misc_RNA from 1 species